GGUAUGUCUGCUUCACUACGAUUGACAAAACUUGCACAUCUACUACUUUCAAGCUGGUGAAAGCACGACUUCAAGAUGUAAGCUAAGAAAGAAGAUGGUAAUUUCCGGCCACAAGUGUCAAAAUCUUGAAAUUAGGGUCGAAGAGAAAUAUACGUCUCCUUGCGGAAAACCAGAAUACAGCACGGCAUUUUGCUUCAUAUACGUGUUAUUCAAAAAACAACAACAGUUUAAAGCCAAAGGAACCCAAUCUAACAAAUGUCAGUCGUUGGACAUUCUAAAUCAUGAUCUGUGGGAAAUUCUCCCCUUUGCUGAUGAAAUACCUUCUAUCAUUUGUAGAACAGAACGGAACCGAACAGAACAGAACAGAACGGACCAAAACAGAACUCUCAGUCAGCAUUUACAUCUCUGUAAACGGCAUCGAUAUUGCCAUUUAAUUUAUCAUAUACGAUUUAUAACUGGUAUUCUGCGGAUUCUGAACUUAAUGCUCCGUAAUUGAUACAUUGACAUUUUCUUGACAAAAUAUUGAUAAAUCAGUUGAUAGACCGAUAUCGAAGUUGGAUUUUGCUGUUAUCCUAAUUCAGAAAGCAGCUUAAUACAAUAAGUACAAUGAUUAUCAAGAUUUAUAAGAAAAUGUUUCACCUAGAGUUAUUUUGACAUAGGAAAUUAUACACGUCUGACAAACCGGAAGUAAAGCCAUGACGUCAUUUAACCGGAAAUAUAACACAAAACCUGGACUCGGCAUAUGGAUUCUCCUUUUCGUUUGCCUAAUUUUCUUAAAAUAUCUAUGGGUUUGAAAACUUAAGAUUUUCUCAAUUUGAGCAAAAAACAACAAUAACAACAACGACAAAACCACCAUAAUGUAAAUUCUGUAUGUUUUGUGCAAAUUUAUCAAGAGGAUACAUGUAUAUAAAUGUGUACAUGAUAUUUUAAAUUAAUUGUUAAGAAUAUUAUUUACAUUUGUGAUAUAAUAGAUGAAUCUAAUAUAAUGAA
rnacentral:lncRNA from 1 species